rnacentral:rRNA from 1 species
GACGAACGCUGGCGGCGUGCUUAACACAUGCAAGUCGAACGGAAAGGCCCUGCUUUUGUGGGGUGCUCGAGUGGCGAACGGGUGAGUAACACGUGAGUAACCUGCCCUUGACUUUGGGAUAACUUCAGGAAACUGGGGCUAAUACCGGAUAGGAGCUCCUGCUGCAUGGUGGGGGUUGGAAAGUUUCGGCGGUUGGGGAUGGACUCGCGGCUUAUCAGCUUGUUGGUGGGGUAGUGGCUUACCAAGGCUUUGACGGGUAGCCGGCCUGAGAGGGUGACCGGCCACAUUGGGACUGAGCUACGGCACAGCCUCCUACGGGAGGCAGCAGUGGGGAAUAUUGCACAAUGGGCGGAAGCCUGAUGCAGCACCGCCGCGUGCGGGAUGACGGCCUUCGGGUUGUAAACCGCUUUCGCCUGUGACGAAGUGUGAGUGACGGUAAUGGGUAAAGAAGCACCGGCUAACUACGUG